GUCUACGGCCAUGCCACCCUGAACGGGCCCAAUCUUGUCUGAUCUUGGAAGCUAAGCAGGGUUGGGCCUGGAUACCAGGUGCUGUAAGCG
rnacentral:rRNA from 1 species